CACCAGACUCCUACGGGAGGCAGCAGUGGGGAAUAUUGCACAAUGGGGGAAACCCUGACCCAGCGACGCCGCGUGAGGGAAGACGGUUUUCGGAUUGUAAACCUCUGUCUUUGGGGACGAAAAAGGACGGUAUCCAAGGAGGAAGCUCCGGCUAACUACGUGCCAGCAGCCGCGGUAAUACGUAGGAAGCGAGCGUUGUCCGGAAUUACUGGGUGUAAAGGGAGCGUAGGCGGGAUUGCAAGUUGGAUGUGAAAACUGCGGGCUCAACCCGGAGCGUGCAUUCAAAACUGCGAUUCUUGAGUGAAGUAGAGGCAAGCGGAAUUCCUAGUGUAGCGGUGAAAUGCGUAGAUAUUAGGAGGAACACCAGUGGCGAAGGCGGCUUACUGGACUGUAACUGACGUUGAGGCUCGAAAGCGUGGGGAGCAAACAGGAUUAGAUACCCGAGUA
rnacentral:rRNA from 1 species